rnacentral:tRNA from 1 species
GUUAGCUUGGUUGGUAGAGCAUGAAAGGGUUGUGGGUUCAAGCCCCACGUUCGACA